rnacentral:lncRNA from 1 species
GGCUGCUCUUUAGAAAGAGAGAUUGGCAAACCAGGCUGCUCUUGAGAAAGAGAGAUUGACAAGUCAGACUGCUCUUAAUGAGAGGGACCAGACCACGGCAUGAUUAAUUGAGGAGGAGAGGUCCCGGAAUGAGACGGGUCAACGGGCCCUGUACGAGCUUUUUGUGGUAAGUUUUUUUCACAUUAGCGAAAUCAUGUGUGUAAUAUUCGUUUCAUUACUAACUAAUACGACCCACUCUUCAGGGUCUGUGCGAUAAGAGCGAUCAAGUCCCUCCGCCGAUGCCCGUCUUCUCUUUGAUUGGCACGGUGAGUUUCAUUAUAAACUAGUAUUAAUAAUUGAGUGCCAUCAUGCUAACUCAGAUAUUGCAAAAUAUCUAUUCUGCGGAAUAACUCCCGAGAGGCAUCGCACGACCCUUCUCUAGGUGUUUCUCCUCCUUGAUGACCACUACG